AACAAGGCGUACCUGCGGACCUGCGGAGGGAUCAUUACACAAUAAACAUAUGAAGGCUGCACCGCCAACAGGCGGCAAGGCUGGAGUAUUUUAUUACCCUUGUCUUUUGCGCACUUGUUGUUUCCUGGGCGGGUUCGCCCGCCUCCAGGACCACAUGAUAAACCUUUUUUAUGCAGUUGCAAUCAGCGUCAGUACAACAAAUGUAAAUCAUUUACAACUUUCAACAAUGGAUCUCAGAUC
rnacentral:misc_RNA from 1 species